GAUGAACGCUGGCGGCGUGCCUAAUACAUGCAAGUCGAGCGAACAGACGAGGAGCUUGCUCCUCUGACGUUAGCGGCGGACGGGUGAGUAACACGUGGAUAACCUACCUAUCAGACUGGGAUAACUUCGGGAAACCGGCGCUAAUACCGGAUAAUAUAUUUAACCGCAUGGUUCAAUAGUGAAAGACGGUUUUGCUGUCACUUAUAGAUGGAUCCGCGCCGCAUUAGCUAGUUGGUAAGGUAACGGCUUACCAAGGCAACGAUGCGUAGCCGACCUGAGAGGGGGAUCGGCCACACUGGAACUGAGACACGGUCCAGACUCCUACGGGAGGCAGCAGUAGGGAAUCUUCCGCAAUGGGCGAAAGCCGGACGGAGCAACGCCGCGUGAGUGAUGAAGGUCUUCGGAUCGUAAAACUCUGUUAUUAGGGAAGAACAAAUGUGUAAGUAACUAUGCACGUCUUGACGGUACCUAAUCAGAAAGCCACGGCUAACUACGUG
rnacentral:rRNA from 1 species